rnacentral:tRNA from 1 species
GAAAUAUAAAAUAUUAAGCUUCUAACUUAAUUUCUAGUGUUAACUCAUUAAUAUUUCU